UAAGGAAUAUUGGUCAAUGGACGCAAGUCUGAACCAGCCAUGCCGCGUGGAGGAUUAAGGCCCUCUGGGUUGUAAACUCCUUUUAUCUGGGAAGAAAUGUACUUUUUCUUGAGUACUUGACGGUACCAGAGGAAUAAGCACCGGCUAACUCCGUGCCAGCAGCCGCGGUAAUACGGAGGGUGCAAGCGUUAUCCGGAUUCACUGGGUUUAAAGGGUGCGUAGGUGGGCAGGUAAGUCAGUGGUGAAAUCUCCGGGCUUAACCCGGAAACUGCCGUUGAUACUAUUUGUCUUGAAUAUUGUGGAGGUUAGCGGAAUAUGUCAUGUAGCGGUGAAAUGCUUAGAUAUGACAUAGAACACCAAUUGCGAAGGCAGCUUACUACACAAUCAUUGACGCUGAGGCACGAAAGCGUGGGGAUCAAACA
rnacentral:rRNA from 1 species